rnacentral:lncRNA from 1 species
CGGGGUGCUCCCUUGAUGUGGUGUUCUCCCCUUUCGCCUAGGAAUGGGACUUCCUGAGAGCCGAACUAUAGUGAUUGUUUUGCUAGCCACCCAGUGGAGCUACAGAGCUCUGAGCUGGUACUGGAGAGUGUCUGCAAUGAGUCCUGUGAUGUGAUCCAUCUUCAGGUCUUUCAGCUGUGGUUACCAGCACCUGCUCCGGUGGAAGUGACAGGGGAGUAAAGUGGACUCUGUGAGGGUCCUUGGUUGUUUUUGUUUAGUGCACCGAGUCUAUUUCCAGGCAGCCAGUGACCAGGGCUGAGAACUUGUCCCAGACCAUGAGCCUUCCCAUUGAGAAAGCAAGCAGACUCACAGUUUUUUGGUGUCUCAAGGAGUCUGCAGAGGUGAUCUAGUUCGUUACUUGAAAGGGUCUGUGGAUUUUCUCAGCUUUUCUGGUAUGUUCCUACAGUAGUUCUUGGAGCAAAAGUUCAUGGUGUGAGUCUCCACAUGCUGCUCUGUCUGUCUGAGCAGGAGCUGCAAGCUAUUCCUGCCUCCUAUCC